UUUCCCACCGCAAGGGUAAGACCCCAGAAAGACUAUCUGGUUGAUAGGUCGAAGGUGUAAGUGCAGCAAUGUAUUUAGCUUAUCGAUACUAAUAGGUCGAGGACUUGACCAAUAUUUAUU
rnacentral:rRNA from 2 species